rnacentral:rRNA from 1 species
GACGAACGCUGGCGGCGUGCUUAACACAUGCAAGUCGAACGGAAAUGCCCUGCUUUUGUGGGGUGCUCGAGUGGCGAACGGGUGAGUAACACGUGAGUAACCUGCCCAUGACUUUGGGAUAACUUCAGGAAACUGGGGCUAAUACCGGAUAGGAGCUCCUGCUGCAUGGUGGGGGUUGGAAAGUUUCGGCGGUUGGGGAUGGACUCGCGGCUUAUCAGCUUGUUGGUGGGGUAGUGGCUUACCAAGGCUUUGACGGGUAGCCGGCCUGAGAGGGUGACCGGCCACAUUGGGACUGAGAUACGGCCCAGACUCCUACGGGAGGCAGCAGUGGGGAAUAUUGCACAAUGGGCGGAAGCCUGAUGCAGCAACGCCGCGUGCGGGAUGACGGCCUUCGGGUUGUAAACCGCUUUCGCCUGUGACGAAGCGUGAGUGACGGUAAUGGGUAAAGAAGCACCGGCUAACUACGUG